rnacentral:rRNA from 1 species
ACGGGAGGCAGCAGUGAGGAAUAUUGGUCAAUGGGCGGGAGCCUGAACCAGCCAAGUAGCGUGCAGGAUGACGGCCCUACGGGUUGUAAACUGCUUUUGCGCAGGGAUAAAAAAGCCCACGUGUGGGCUCUUGCAGGUACUGCGUGAAUAAGGACCGGCUAAUUCCGUGCCAGCAGCCGCGGUAAUACGGAAGGUCCGAGCGUUAUCCGGAUUUAUUGGGUUUAAAGGGUGCGCAGGCGGCACGUUAAGUCAGCGGUGAAAUGUCGGGGCUCAACCCGGGCACUGCCGUUGAAACUGGCGAGCUUGAGUACGGAUGAAGUCGGCGGAAUGUGAUGUGUAGCGGUGAAAUGCUUAGAUAUGUCACAGAACACCGAUUGCGAAGGCAGCUGACUAAUCCGCAACUGACGCUCAGGCACGAAAGCGUGGGGAUCGAACAGGAUUAGAUACCCUGGUA